rnacentral:sRNA from 1 species
GUUGGGUCUGGUGACGCACGCCUGUAAUCCCAGCGACUUGGGAGGCUGAGAUAGGAAGAUCUCAAGUUCAAAGAGAGCCUCAGCAAUGGCAAGGCACUAAGCAACUCAGUGAGACCCUGUUUCUA